ACGAUAUCGUUGGGCUGUGCUGAGUGCUGCUGUGACUCGUAGAGUACUCUCGUGAAGUCGUAUAUGUUACUGGACUGCUCGUGUCUGCUGUCGGCGGGAAAAGAGAAAGAAAGGGGUUAAAAAGAGAUUAAGCCAAAGAGGAAGCCCGAGGAUAUCACGCAACGAUGUAGAGGAUGAAGACUGAAAGAAGUAGCCCUUCGGUGUCUCUCUUAUCGAAGGGGCUGCUCCACUGUGCUUGCGACGGUCAACCAAGCUUGUGGCGACCGGAUUGGCGGAGCUUUCACCGCAUACGGCUUAGGGAUAUGCAAACUGAGAGUGAGAAAGAGAGAAAGAGAGAGAGAGAGAGAAAGAGAGAGAGAAAAGAACGAGCGUCACCGAGUACAAGUAUUUCCAUACGAGAGUAUUUUCUCUUUCAAAAGCUCUGAUCGAUCGUUCGCUUAUCUUAUCCUUAACCUUAAUAUUCUAAUAUUAGAAAUUCAAUAUGAUUGAAUUGAUUAUGAACUAAUCAUUUAUGUAGUGGCACGAACAAACGAAGUGGGAGUAGUUUUUAUACGUAAGUUCAAAACGUCUAUAGCUUUUUUAAUUUUUGUUCGUGUUUAAAUAGAAAUAAUAUAAUGUGAAAUUUCUAAUGUAACAUACUAAUAUUAAUAUGCUAUACAUGAUACAACAUACAUUAACUUUUUCGGAUAUAUAUAUAUAUAUAUUGGAAAUAUAUGUAUAUAUAAUAAUUAUUCUUAAGUAUUCAUGUAGAUAUACAGAUAUAUAAAUUUCUAAUAUAUAUUUAUCUAAGCUUCUCUUUAUAGUUCCACUCUAUAUAUUUGUAUAUGAUUAAAAGAUAAACAAAAUAUAAAUGAUAUUUAAUACUCGUAAGGAUUUGGAAAUACUCUACUCGUGAAUAAAACGAAUGCGUAGUGUGAAAGUAAAUGAGUAGGCGGAAGGAUCGAUAAGCAUUGGCGUGGUAGGUGGAAAAUAAAAUAAGAAUAUUUUUUAAGUUUCUUUGGAAGACACGGACCGGUAACAGAUGUGACGACUAUUUCCUCAGUUGUUCCAGGUUCUCCCGAACCUUCCUCGCAAUCUUCUUCUUCAUCAUCGCACGAUGGUCGUUCUUGAAUAUUUUCGUUAUGUUUUGGUCUCAAAGUCGUUGGUAGCCUUGUAGGUGCCACGUAGACCGGUGUUAUCAAAUCGUCUGUAAAAAUUAUAACUAUUAGUAUUCCAUAUAUCUCGUUAUUAGUUUUAUCUUGAAGACGGUAAACGUUUAAUGAGAAUUGUUUGUUUGUGCGCGUGAAAAUGACACGUAUCCAUGUCACACAUCCGUGGUUUCCUCGAUCAUUCCGUUUCGGACACGAAUACGAGCGCAAUAUGACGUGAAAAUUAACUAUGAACGUGACGACAAUACCGAACGCACUCUCUGAUGUUGACGUUUAAACGCACGAUAUCGUUAAUGAGAAACGUCCUCGCGUUUCCAUGAUGUUGACGACAACUAACAAUCUGUGACGUGUGAAUGUCUACUUGUUUCUCCAAAUUUUACGUGUAGUUAGAUAUAUAUAUAUUUUUUGGAACAUGAAACGUGCAUAUGUAAAUAUUGUAGGCAUACGUUUACAAUUGGACCAGAUACUGACAGAUUCAAUUAUAAAAAUAAAAAAAAAUGUGCACACACACA